UACAAAGGUGAGAUGUUUAAUGACAGAGAGUGUGAGAAUUACUCCUAAAUAUUUAUGUUUUAUACAUACGAGAUAUUUGCUCUUUCCUAUGAAGAUAGUGAUUAUCAUUUUCAAAGUUUGACGCUUUUACCAAGUUUGAUAAUGAACUAUUAUCAAGAUGGGAUCAUGCCAUGUUGUUGGGAUGUUUCAAGUACAACCUGGAGUCAGUUGAAAGGCGAAUUAUUGCUUGAAAAUAUAACUUUGUUGCUCAGUUUAACGAGAAAAGAUUUACUCAGAGACGUCCUCCUCAAAAUAUAUCCAGUCUAAACCAACCAUACAAUGCUGACCAGUUUAACUUUACCAAAGUACCAA